rnacentral:rRNA from 1 species
UCUUUGAAGAGAGAGUUCAAUAGUACGUGAAACCGUUUAUAGGCAAACGGGUGGAGUCGCGAAGUGGUCUGGAUAGAUUCAACCGUUUGAGCGUGGGUUGCGGCUGAGUUUACGGAUCCUUUUCGGACCGGCUUGGUCGUUGAGCCUGCGUCGAUCGGCGCACUUCUUUCCAGACAGCGCUACAACCGGUUUAGCGGCGGUCAUAAGCUACUCGGGAAGGUGACUCCGGCUUCGGUUGGAGAGUUAUAGUCCGGGAUAGCGUCGUCUGCCGCGAGACCGAGGAAUGGCCGUACCCGCCUCUAGGCACGGGCCCCUGCUCCUCUGGUGCCGUUCGACUGGGCUGGACUGUUCGCAGUGCUGUCCGACUGCGGUGCUUGUUGCGAGUAGGUGUGCUCCCGAGUGGUACUCAAGGUUAGUAGCGAGUUGGUCGGCAAUCCAUCCGACCCGUCUUGAAACACGGGACCAAGA